rnacentral:misc_RNA from 1 species
AACGCACCUUGCGCCCCUUGGUAUUCCGAGGGGCAUGCCUGUUUGAGUGUCAUUAAAAUAUCAAUCCCUUAUUCAAAUGUUUAAGUGGAUUGGAUGUGGGGGUUUAAUUUUGCUGGUUUGAAUAGAAUCAGCUCCCCUUAAAUGUAUUAGCUGGUGCCCCAUUGUGUAUGGGACUCUUUCUAUUUGGUGUGAUAAUUAUCUACGCCGUUGGGAAUGAGUCUGAUUCUAUUAAAAAUGGGUGGUGCUGCUUUCUAAUCGUCCUUUAGUGGACAAUUUAUUUGACCAUUUGACCUCAAAUCAGGUAGGACUACCCGCUGAACUUAA